rnacentral:lncRNA from 1 species
AUUGUGUAUAAGAGAAGUUAAUAGAAAUAGUGGUCAAUUACAUCAUAUAAUUUGGUUCUAUACUCUUCUGUGUGUAUAUAUCCUGAAUGCUACCCCUUUGUGAUCAACUUUUUGUCCUUCGAAUCAAAUGGCACAGCUACCGCCCCUUGUGGAAAAAGAAAGGACUCUGUAAUACUCGUAAAUGUAAAAGGAAAACAUCAUGUGAUGCAUCUCAACCUGCGCAAAACAAUGUAAAAACCAUACAUGCUAUCUACAUACUCUUAUUGUCUAGCAAAGCAUAAGUAGCUGAGGGACCAUGUACAAAAGAAUUGAAAAUUAGCAAGAAAGAAGCAUGCCAUCAGCUGUCUAGACAACCAUAAAACAAUAAGUGGCAAAAGCCCCAUCAGAAUUAGCAUUUGCCAUCCAGUUUAUGAGCCAAAGUUGAGCAUUCACCAGUCGAUAAAGCAUAUUAAGCAUCAGCUAUAAAACAAACUCCAUUUUACUAAUAAGACAACAUAGAUAUGAAGUGGGAAAACUCUAUUUUGACAUCCAGUUUAUGAGCUAAAGUGGAAAGUUAUGGUCACAAAUGCAUAAAUAAGCAAUAUAGAAAAUUAGUGGAAAUCUCGCGCCUGAGCGGCACCUCAUCGCAGCUCGACACCCCCACCAUCGCUCGUCUCGCGCUUUAGUGGAAAUUUUAGGAACACAAAUAGUAAUAGGAUUGGUUAGAGUAAGAUGUGCUGGAAAUGGAAACAAAAAAUGCCGGUAUCUUUAUUCAAAUAUUGCUCGAAAGCACAUGCCCAGGACGUUGCAUCCAGAAGUUCAUCUGAAUAUUAUCUUAAAAGGUUAGGAUGCGAGAAAAUAACACCUUGGGUAGGCAUUUGUAAUUCAAAAAGAGAAAACAACUCGAUAGUAGAAUUUGAAACUGCUAAUCCUCCCGAAGUCUUUGCAUAAUAGGAGUAUAGUACUGCACAUGCUAUGCUGCAGAAGAUUUAAAAAUGGUAGAUAAUAAUAAAUAGGAAAGUACAAAAACAAUCUCUUGACAGAAAGCAUAGGGGCCGUGUCAAAAUAAUUAAUAAAAAUGAUCUCCACUGAUUAAGAAAUAAACAAUGCAACUACACACAGAUCAAACCAUCAUUUGUGCUUGUCAUCUUCUUGGGCAGCGGCAGCAGCUGCGCGUCGCUCGGCGUCUUGGGCAGUUGGUGCAGCGGGGCAUCGCUCGGCGUCUUGCCAUUCUUCAAGAUCACCAACGACUUCCUCGCCACCUCCCUCGCCAUAUCUCUCUCAUCAUGCAUUGCAAAUUGAGCAGGAAGUACAGACUUCAGAGGAAUUGAGAGAAUAAGAAUCAGCGCACAUUAACUAUUAUCAAUAGACUGACUCAACAACCAGAAUAAUAUACUUGUCAACAUUUACAUUUACAUGUAAAAUAAAGGCAAUAUAGUGUGCUUUAUGAAUCAAAGAUAGCAGCAAGUGUCCAGCCGGCGACCAUAUGAAGCGAAGAUAGCAACGAGCAAUCAGCGAACAACAUUACGAAAUUAGUAGCUAUAUAAAGAGUACACUCUGUAGUAUAGCACGAGAUUGUCAUAGUAAAGGAUGUAUAGCUAGAAUCUGGAUAAGAGAUUCCUGCAUACCUGCAGGAAAGAGGAUAGGGGCGAUAGCCAGAACUUGCAUAUGACUACUCCUAGCCCAGUAGCCUUGAGACAAUGAACAUCAGGGGAAGACAAAAGCGAGCACUGCAGCACAUGAGCAAAAUAUGGAAUAAAGCAACCCGAGAAGAAAAAACCAGAGGAACAAAUGAACAAGUACAAUGAGACUACCAGGAACAAAU